CCAGAGAUGCUGCCUGGCCUGCUGAGUUCCUCCAGCACUUUGUUGUGUGCCCUUUUUUGUAAACUAUAAUCUGCAGUUCC